rnacentral:rRNA from 1 species
UGGGUCUCGCUCGUUGCCUGACUUAACAGGAUGCUUUACAGUACGAACUGACGACGGCCAUGCACCACCUCUCAGCUAAUCCGGCAAAGUCUUCAGCCUGGCCUUCAUAUUGCUGUCGGUCCCGGUAAGAUUUCCGGCGUUGAAUCCAAUUAAACCGCAAGCUCCACCCGUUGUGGUGCUCCCCCGCCAAUUCCUUUAAGUUUCAGCCUUGCGGCCGUACUUCCCAGGUGGCUCGCUUCACGGCUUCCCUACGGCACCGACAACGGUCGCACCGUGGCCGACACCUAGCGAGUAUCGUUUACGGCUAGGACUACCCGGGUAUCUAAUCCGGUUCGUGCCCCUAGCUUUCGUCCCUUGCCGUCAGGUCCGUUCUGGUGAGACGCCUUCGCCACUGGUGGUCCUUCAAGGAUUACAAGAUUUCACCCCUACCCCUGAAGUACCUCUCACCUCUCCCGGCCUCGAGCCAGACAGUAUCUCCUGAAAGCCUGACAGUUAAGCUGCCAGAUUUCUCAAGAGACUUAUCCGGCCGGCUACAGACCCUUUAGACCCAAUAAUAACGGUUACCACUCGAGCCGCCGGUGUUACCGCGGCGGCUGGCACCGGUCUUGCCCGGCCCUUGCUAUGAAAUGCUUUUUAGGCAUCUCGACAGCCAGAUUUGUAACCUGGCACUCGAGGUUCCCUUAUCGCUGUUGCCAGCAUUGUAAAGUUUUCGCGCCUGCUGCACCCCGUAGGGCCUGGAUUCGUGUCUCAGAAUCCAUCUCCGGGCUCUUGCUCUCACAACCCGUACCCGUCGUAGGCUAGUAGGUACGCUACACCCACUACUACCUGAUAGGCCGCAGACCCAUCCUUAGGCGCCGGAGCUUUUAAUCUCGGUGCAUUCCAGCAGCCGAGACUUAUAGGGGAUUAUACCCAGUUUCCCGGGUUUAUACCCAACCUAAGGGCAGGUUGUCCACGUGUUACUGAGCAGUACGCCAUGUAUUGCUACAUUCGACUCGCAUGGCUUAGUCGAACCUCGAUAGCAGUAACCUCUGGCAGGAUCAACCAGA